AGAGUUUGAUCCUGGCUCAGAGCGAACGCUGGCGGCAGGCCUAACACAUGCAAGUCGAGCGGCCGUAGCAAUACGGCAGCGGCAGACGGGAGAGUAACACGUGGGAACGCGCCCUUCGGUUCGGAAUAACUCAGGGAAACUUGAGCUAAUACCGGAUACGCCCUUACGGGGAAAGAUUUAUUGCCGAAGGAACGGCCCGCGUCCGAUUAGCUUGUUGGUGAGGUAAUGGCUCACCAAGGCGACGAUCGGUAGCUGGUCUGAGAGGAUGACCAGCCUCACUGGGACUGAGACACGGCCCAGACUCCUACGGGAGGCAGCAGCGGGGAAUAUUGGACAAUGGGCGCAAGCCUGAUCCAGCCAUGCCGCGUGAGUGAUGAAGGCCUUAGGGUUGUAAAGCUCUUUUAGCAGGGAAGAUAAUGACGGUACCUGCAGAAAAAGCCCCGGCUAACUUCGUGCCAGCAGCCGCGGUAAUACGAAGGGGGCUAGCGUUGCUCGGAAUUACUGGGCGUAAAGCGCACGUAGGCGGCUUCUUAAGUCGGUGGUGAAAUCCUGGAGCUCAACUCCAGAACUGCCUUCGAUACUGGGAAGCUAGAGUC
rnacentral:rRNA from 1 species